UCCUACUACACUUUUCUGGUUUUGUUCGAGAGGUCUCUUCUCGCCUGGAAACUGGGGUUUUUGAAAGUUUAACAGAUAAAAUGAUGUGAUGCCAGUAUUUUGUUCAACAGGCAGAAGAAAUUGUAAAGCUGAGGAUUAACUAAGUUAAAAUCUUCACUUAAAAGUGGUAACUAGUUGAAGAUUUUAACACUGCACAGCAUUUCUCCCCUUUUUGAGGUCUUUGGAAGCAAACGCUGACUUUGAAAAAGUUGAUAUGGGACUGGACCUGACAACGCUCCCAUAAAACUGCAAUUACAUAUGUGCAUACCACUCUGGAACUCCAGAACGAGGUUGGAAAUGGUGGUGAGCAGGUCUCAUGGGCUUGCAGCCUGUUGGGCUUGAGAGAAUGAGCCCAGAUUUCAAAUGGAUCCUCUUUUUUGCUUGGCAUCCAGCUCUUGUGCUUGGAGCCAUGCUGCUACCACCCUCAUGGCAAAUAUCAAGGCCUGAUAUUUACAAGGGAAAGAAGAAGUGGAGCUGCUGAUGCAAUGGGAUGACCAGAAGCUGGAACACCACAUGGCUCAACAUGUUACAGAUCCUAGCUGCAGAUAUAGCUGGAAAAUGACUGUCAGACGGAAUACAAUAAGGAGUUGCUGGAAAGGAGCCAUUGCUGUGCCUUGUUACAGAUUCAGAGCAAAAGUUUUCAAGGAGUAUUCAUCUGGCAUUCCUACAACUGCAGUGUGUGGCACUCCUGAAAAGUGUUUAGAGGAAGAGGUCCUCCAACUGCAGCUGUCACUUACCCCUGGUACAGUGUUAUGUCAAGCCUGCUGUGUGAAAGCCUCAGAGAGAUGCUCAUUUGGGGUCCCUGUUCAGCUGCCUUGUACCCUCUAG
rnacentral:lncRNA from 14 species